CCUUCCCCUACAUCAAUAAGAAUUGGUAUGUUAUUUUUUUUCAGAACUCAAUAUUAAUUCGACGUUUUUAACAAACGACACAAGUUUAGAAGCAGCUACCAAUAAUGAUACCUCAAAAUAUGAACACCAGAUAGUCGUCAAUAAUCCUACUGGCAAGUAUUAACAAGUGUCGCUCAAAUACGUUUUAUUUAUUUUUGUUUCUAUUUUCAGCACACAAAAAAAGAAAAAUUUCUACUCCUCUUGCGUACAAGGAACUUGAGGACUUACGCGUAAUGUUUGACGAGUUUUGUGUCUUUAACUGCUCAGAUUAAUGAAAAAAAAAAAA